rnacentral:rRNA from 1 species
UACAGGGGGGGCAAGCGUUGUUCGGAAUUACUGGGCGUAAAGGGCUCGUAGGCGGCCAACUAAGUCCGACGUGAAAUCCCCAGGCUUAACCUGGGAACUGCGUCGGAUACUGGAUGGCUUGAAUUCGGGAGAGGGAUGCAGAAUUCCAGGUGUAGCGGUGAAAUGCGUAGAUAUCUGGAGGAAUACCGGUGGCGAAGGCGGCAUCCUGGACCGACAUUGACGCUGAUGAGCGAAA